AUGUGGGAAUUCGAAUCUGUAGUUUCCGGGAUGAACUUCUCAGCUUUCCAGUUCCUCCACUCCUCAAAUCAGAUGGCUACAUUCAGUUGUCUGAUGACCUUGAGUUCUAUACCUCCUGGCCCGUGUGGUUUUAUGCAUGAUGGCUGAAGAGAAGCUUUCUCCAAUCACGAAUAUCAUCUGCACAGCGACCCAUCAUGUACAGCAGCAUACUGACCUGUUCACUGCU